rnacentral:rRNA from 1 species
UACGGGGGGGGUAAGCGUUGUUCGGAAUUACUGGGCGUAAAGGGCUCGUAGGCGGCCAACUAAGUCAUACGUGAAAUCCCUCAGCUUAACUGGAAAACGGCAUCGGAUACUGGUCGGCUGGAAGGUGGGAGAGGGUAGCGGAAUUCCCGGUGUAGUGGUGAAAUGCGUAGAUAUCGGGAGGAACACCAGUGGCGAAAGCGGCUACCUGGCCCACUCUUGACGCUGAGGCGCGAAAGCUAGGGGAGCAAACGGG